AAUAAGCGGAGGAAAAGAAACCAACAGGGAUUGCCUUAGUAACGGCGAGUGAAGCGGCAAAAGCUCAAUUUGAAAUCGCUUCGGCGAGUUGUAAGUGAAGUGGUUAAGCUUUGAUGUAAGUUUCCUGGAACGGAACGCCAUAGAGGGUGAUAGCCCCGUUGUCUUUGCUUAAUGUGCUACUUCAGAGCGAGUCGAGUUGUUUGGGAAUGCAGCUCUAAUAGGUGGUAAACUCCAUCUAAGGCUAAAUAUUGCUGGGAGACCGAUAGCGAACAAGUACAGUGAUGGAAAGAUGAAAAGCACUUUGAAAAGAGAGUGAAAUAGCGUGUGAAAUUGUUGGAGGGGAAGGCGAUGAUAGGAAUAGGAGGCUGCGGUUUGAAAUAAUUGUUUUUCGGGCCACGGUCUCUGGUGCCUAUUUUCGCACCCGUCUUGAAA
rnacentral:rRNA from 1 species